AAAAGGUGUGUGUCUGUUUGCAACUAUGAUAUAUUUGUGUUGCUGUUGAGUGUGCUGCUGUAGUUACUUCACGUCGACAGGAGGAUCCUCCCUGGAUUACAAAAGGAUUUGAGAUCGCCUUACCAACGGAUCACAAAUAAGGAUUAGCGGAUGGAAUGGCCUCGCGAUGUCUCUUUGGUGGAACUUGUAAGAGAACAGAAGAACUCUGGGAAAAGGAUUCAGGAUGAAAUGUAAAACUAAAUUCUGAUUUUAAAAAAAGGACAAGAGAGCUGAUCAGAAGAUGUCCUAAAGAAUCGACAAAUGUCUUGAGACUUGAUUAGAAGAUAUCCCAGAGAUUUAUAAUAAUGUACCCUAGACUGGAAACUUUGUUAUAAAAUGCUUUAGAGAAUGGAUUAUUAGAAGCCCUAGAAUAGAUUAGAAGAAGUCCUAGAGAGUGGAUAAUGAGAUUGGGCUAAAAGAGUUGUGACCAACUUAUGACGUGUUUUAAGAAUUUUAGAAUCUAAGUCUCCUUUAAGAUACUGCAGGACAAUGUUUUUAGUUCAAUGGAAAAAAGUUGUGAUAUAUAUAU